GAGGGUGUAGCUCAGUGGUAGAGUGCAUGCUUAAUAUGCACGGGGUCCUGAGUUCGAUCCCCAGCACCUCUG
rnacentral:tRNA from 1 species